rnacentral:rRNA from 1 species
AUUGAACGCUGGCGGCAGGCCUAACACAUGCAAGUCGAGCGGGGUUUUCGGACCUAGCGGCGGACGGGUGAGUAAUGCGUAGGAAGCUACCCGAUAGAGGGGGAUACCAGUUGGAAACGACUGUUAAUACCGCAUAAUGUCUACGGACCAAAGUGUGGGACCUUCGGGCCACAUGCUAUCGGAUGCGCCUACGUGGGAUUAGCUAGUUGGUGAGGUAAUGGCUCACCAAGGCGACGAUCCCUAGCUGGUUUGAGAGGAUGAUCAGCCACACUGGAACUGAGACACGGUCCGGACUCCUACGGGAGGCAGCAGUGGGGAAUAUUGGACAAUGGGCGCAAGCCUGAUCCAGCCAUGCCGCGUGUGUGAAGAAGGCCUUCGGGUUGUAAAGCACUUUCAGUAGGGAGGAAGCGUUGUGUGUUACUAGUACACAGCGUUGACGUUACCUACAGAAGAAGCACCGGCUAACUCUGUGCCAGCCGCCGCUGUAACAC